rnacentral:rRNA from 1 species
CUGCAACUCGCCUGCAUGAAGUCGGAAUUGCUAGUAAUCGCAGAUCAGCAUGCUGUGGUGAAUACGUUCCCGGGCCUUGUACACACCGCCCGUCACACCAUGGGAGUCGGUAACACCCAAAGUUGGUAGUCUAACCGCAAGGAGGACGCCGCCUAAGGUGGGAUUGAUGACUGGGGUGAAGUCGUAACAAGGUAGC